UACGGAGGGUGCAAGCGUUGUCCGGAUUUAUUGGGUUUAAAAGGGUGCGUAGGCGGCCCGGUAAGUCAGUGGUGAAAGCCUCCAGCUCAACUGGAGAACUGCCAUUGAUACUGUCGGGCUUGAGUACAGACGAGGUUGGCGGAAUUGAUUGUGUAGCGGUGAAAUGCAUAGAUACAAUCAAGAACUCCGAUUGCGUAGGCAGCUAACUAGGCUGUAACUGACGCUGAGGCACGAAAGCGUGGGGAGCGAACAGG
rnacentral:rRNA from 1 species